rnacentral:lncRNA from 1 species
UUAUAAACCCAGAUGGUUGGAGUAUGUGACUGAUUGAUCAACCUUCACUAAGAAUGAGCAAGUAUCCUAUCCUACUUAUAAAGGUUGGAGUUGGUGGUGAGUUCAUGUAUGGGACCAACAAUCUUCACAAAUAAACAAAUGCACUCCUGCCCAUAUGUGGACUAGCAACGUUCAAAAGACAUAAAUAUAGAAAUGUAUUUUUAACUCACAUGUGAGACCCAGCAUAAAUAAAUAAAUAUGCUACUACUUUGAUGUGAGAUUAAAACUAUUUUAAAAGACACGUAAAUGCAAAAUGAGACUCCACCUCAAAAUCAUGCUCUGAGUAUUAGUUUUCCUUCCCAACCAAUUUUUCUAGCUCUAUAUCAUAGCAUAAGACAGCAAGCAAAUAAUAAUUCCAACCCCGAUGAUAGACCUCGUCCUCUUACGGUCUUACCUGAUCGACAACCUUGUGCAGUCAACUUACUAAUGUACAGCAUGUGUUCAAAUUUAAAAUGUUUUCUAAAGUACCUACUAUGGUCUCUUAAGAUUCUCCAACGCCCGUCACAUGAUUCCUAAUGGUACUUUUGCUUUCUUCUUAAUCGUGAACCACACAACGGCCGCCAGACACCAUUGUAUUUCGGUGAUUCCUAAUCUGGUGGGCUAAAUCCUCGUCUUCUUUAUGACUUCGUAGCAACACACGGGCAUCAUGCUAGUGAUCAAGUAAUUUUGAGCUCCUUGUUUUUGUGUACAACGACAACAACGACAACAAAGCCUUUAGUCCCAAACAAGUUGGGGUAGGCUAGAGGUGAAACACACAAGAUCUCGCGACCAACUCAUGGUUCUGGCACAUGGAUAGCAAGCUUCCAUGCACCACUCUCCAUGGCUAGUUCUUUGGUGAUGCUCCAAUCCUUCAGAUCUCUCUUUACGGACUCUUCCCGUGCUCCAAUCCUUGUUUCUGUGUGGCGUACACAAUAGUAUAGGUCUUCAACAUUACAUUGCAGAAGAAGCUCAUUGUAAAUAUUAGUGGACCCUCUGUGGCUCAGUACUAUAGAUCCUUAUAAACAAAUGAGACAGCAACUAUAAAUAUGCAACAAAAAUAUACAACAAUUGGGCUCAUUUUCAUAAAAAAGGAUAGAUAUAUGAAAUUAUGCACUUUACCUGAACCUAAAUGUCCAUCCACGCUGCUGAAAUAUCGUAUUGAACAUCGUACCUUAUAGUUGUGAAUAAUUAUAUAAGAUUAUCAUUUAGUAUUGAUGAUUGAGUACUGCAGUGCACUGCACAAUAUGUUUCUUGACAAGUUAACACAUCUUCUGUUCACUAAUGUAGGACGUUUUGGAUGUUUAAAUUGAACUGCCAAAGCGUCCUAAAUUAGUGAACAGUGGUAGCAGUUAUUAUCUCAACAUUUCGUUGAUACUUAAGAGUACUAUACAAACUGUAAACGUUAUGAGCUCACUAUCUUCUACUCCCUCCUGUUCUCUAGAAGCUGCCAUUUGGUAGCUUUCAAACUUUGAUUAUCAAUAUCUUUUAAAUUAUUCAGACAACAACAACAACAACAAAACCUUUAGUCCCAAACAAGUUGGGGUAGGCUAGAGGUGAAACUCAUAAGAUCUCGCGACCAACUCAUGGUUCUGGCACAUGGAUAGCAAGCUUCCACGCACCCCUGUCCAUGGCUAGUUCUUUGGUGAUGCUCCAAUCCUUCAGAUCUCUCUUUACGAACUCUUCCCAUGUCAAGUUCGGUCUACCCCUGCCUCUUUUGACAUUAUCCGCAUGCUUUAGCCGUCUGCCAUGUACCGGGGCUUCUGGAGGCCUGCGCUGAAUAUGCCCAAACCAUCUCAGACGAUGUUGGACAAGCUUCUCUUCAAUUGGCGCUACCCCAACUCUAUCUCGUAUAUCAUCAUUCCGGAUUCGGUCCUUCCUUGUGUGGCCACACAUCCAUCUCAACAUGCACAUCUCCUCCACACCUAACUGUUACACAUGUCGCCUUUUAGUAGGCCAACACUCCGUGCCAUACGACAUUGCGGGUCGAACCGCCGUCCUAUAGAACUUGCCUUUUAGCUUUUGUGGCACCCUCCUGUCACAAAGAAUGCCAGAAGCUUGGCGCCACUUCAGCCAUCCGGCUUUAAUUCGAUGGUUCACAUCUUCAUCGAUAUCCCUAUCCUUCUGCAACAUUGACCACAAAUAUCGGAAGGUAUCCUUCUGAGGCACCACCUGACCAUCAAGGCUUACAUCCUCCUCGUCCUCGUGCAUUGUAGUAUUGAAAGCGCACCUCAUGUACUCGGUUUUAGUCCUACUAAGUCUAAAACCUUUCAAUUCCAAGGUUUGCCUCCAUAACUCCAACUUCCUGUUGACCCUCGUCCGACUAUCAUCGACUAGCACCACAUCGUCCGCAAAGAGCAUACACCAUGGGAUAUCUCCUUGUAUAUCCCUUGUGACCUCAUCCAUCACCAAGGCAAAAAGAUAAGGGCUCAAAGCUUACCCCUGAUGCAGUCCUAUCUUAAUCGGGAAGUCAUCAGUGUCGCCAUCACUUGUUCGAACACUUGUCACAACAUUAUCAUACAUGUCCUUGAUGAGGGUAAUGUACUUUGCUGGGACUUUGUGUUUCUCCAAGGCCCACCACAUAACAUUCCGCGGUAUCUUGUCGUAGGCCUUCUCCAAGUCAAUGAACACCAUAUGCAGGUCCUUCUUUUUCUCCCUAUAUCUCUCCAUAAGUUGUCGUACCAAGAAAAUGGCUUCCAUGGUCGACCUUCCAGGCAUGAAACCAAACUGAUUUUUGGUCAUGCUUGUCAUUCUUCUUAAGCGGUGCUCAAUGACUCUCUCCCAUAGCUUCAUUGUAUGGCUCACUAGUUUAAUUCCACGGUAAUUAGUACAACUCUGAACAUCCCCCUUGUUCUUGAAGAUUGGUACUAAUAUACUCCGUCUCCAUUCUUCUGGCAUCUUGUUUGCCCGAAAAAUGAGGUUGAAAAGUUUGGUUAGCCAUACUAUCGCUAUGUCCCCGAGGCCUCUCCACUCCUCAAUGGGGAUACAAUCAGGGCCCAUCGCCUUGCCUCCUUUCAUCCUCUUUAAAGCCUCCUUGACCUCCGACUCUUGGAUUCGCAGCACAAAACGCCUGCUAGUAUCAUCAAAGGAGUCGUCCAGAUCAAUGGUAGAGCUCUCACUCUCCCCGUGGAACAACUUGUCAAAGUACUCCCGCCAUCUAUGCUUAAUCUCCUCGUUCUUCACCAAGAGUUGGUCUGCUCCGUCCUUGAUGCACUUGAUUUGGUCAACCUCCCUCGUCUUCCUCUCUUGGAUCUUCGCCAUCUUAUAGAUGUCCCUUUCGCCUUCCUUCGUGUCUAACCGUUGGUAGAGGUCCUCAUACGCCCGACCCCUUGCUUCACUCACAACUCGCUUUGCGGCCUUCUUUGCCAUCUUGUACUUCUCUAUGUUGUCUGCACUCCUAUCCAGACAUAGGCGUCUGAAACAAUCUUUCUUCUCCUUAAUUGCCUUUUGCACAUCAUCGUUCCACCACCAGGUAUCUUUAGCUUCUCUUCUACUUCCCCUGUACACUCCAAACUCCAUUGAGGCCACCUUACGAAUGCAAGUCGCCAUCUUCAUCCACAUGUUGUCUACAUCACCUCCUUCCUUCCAAGGGCCCUCCUUAACGACCUUCUCCUUGAAUGCCUGAGCUACCUCCCCCUUGAGCUUCCACCACUCCGUUCUACCGACUUUGGCACGCUUGUCCCGCUGGACACGAAUCCGAAAGCGGAAGUCAGCAACCACAAGCUUAUGCUGAGGGACAACACUCUCUCCAGGUAUCACCUUACAGUCUAGGCAUGCACGCCUGUCUUCUCUUCUCGAGAGGAUGAAAUCAAUCUGGUUAGAGCGUUGCCCUCUACUGUACGUCACUAGAUGUGAUUCUCUCUUCUUAAAGAGGGUGUUAGCUACGAUCAUGUCGUAGGCUAGCGCAAAGCUUAAGACAUCUUCUCCUUCUUAAAUUAUUCAGACAAGAUACUUAAAAUCAUAUGGAACAUUUUGUCUUGAAAAAUACUGAUAGUAUAUAAUUUCUUGUUGGGUUGUGUAAAUAUGUUGAAGGGGAGCCUUGGCGCAGCGAUAAAGCUGUUGCCUUGUGACCAUCAGGUCACUGGUUCGAAAGGCUGCGUACAAAAGACCCAAAGUGGUCAGACCCUUCCCCAGACCCGUGGGAGCUACGUGCACCGGGCUGUCCUUUUUUGUGUAAAUAUGUUACAAUAGAAAAUAGUGACCAAAGUUCUAGUUUGGACACCAUGCCAGUGUCCAAGAUGAUAGCUUUUCGAGAACUGGAGGAAGUAUUCAUUUUUAUCAAAUUUAUUUAUUACCACCUCCAUAACUAAAUAUAAGACGUUUUUGCUGUUCAAUUUAAACUGCAAAAAAGUCUUAUAUUUAGUUACAGAUGGAGUAUUUAUGAUGUACAUCAGAAUUGUUGUGAAAUGAAUUCAUAUUAAUAAGCUUUUGUGCUAUCUCUUUUCAACAGCGGAUGGUGAGCUCUUCGUUUGGGGCAAAAAUUCGAGUGGCCAGCUUGGCCUUGGCAAAAGUAAUAACAUUUUCCUUACAUUCUUAGCACCAUCCAUGGCUAUAUCCCCACUUCAUGCAAUAUGUGAUAAUUGAAUGUUUGGACUGGUUUAACAAUUUGGCGUUAUCAACAGUGGCCUGUUUUACACUGGUGGGUGUGGGGUCAUUUAUCCAACUAAAAUCUAAAACAUCAAUUUCCCUCAAAAGAAAAGAAAAAUCUAAAACAUCUGUGUCUAAGAUUGACUUGUACAUAUUGCUUGAGCACUUAAGCUCCAGUUUGUCCUAGCUGUCUUUCCAUCAUCACAUGUAGCAUCAUCAUGCUUCUGUUAAGAUUUACUCGCUAAUAUAAUAGGCCAUUGUUUCGUUCAUCAAUAAUCUUGCUAUUAAGCUGAACAUUUGCCACCAGUUUAAAAUUCUGAAUUAAAGAGCCCUUCCUACUUGGUUUAGGUGCAGGAAAAGUAGUCUCUACCCCAAGAAAGGUUGACUACUUGGCUGAUGUUAGAGUGAAAAUGACUGCUUUGGGAUCAGAGCACUCAAUUGUUGUUACAGGUGAAUGCGCUACGUAUUUGCGUUAUAGAACUUGAACAUUACUGCUUUUGAGUGUCUGAAAUUCUCCUGUUAUUUCCCUCUUAAGAGGAUGGUGAAGCCUUGAGUUGGGGAGCUGCUGGUGGUGGUAGACUUGGACAUGGCCAUAAAUCUAGCUUCCUGGGAUUCGCUAUGACCUCAAAGUAAGAUUACAAGUUUUUGGACAGCACUUAUUGUGGACACACCACUCUAUCUUCUGGGAUAGCUCAUGUUGUCAUUUAUUUGGAAAAUAUGGACAUAGUAAUACCUUAACCAUAAGAAUGCAAAAUUCUCGAUCAGAAGCUGGCACUUAUGUACUUAAAAGGUAAUGUUCAUCUCAUAACAAAUUCACAUGUCACAAACUUAAUUGCCAAAGUUCCUAGUUUCGAGAUGAUGUAGUAUGAGCUUGAGAAAAGCCCUGGGUGGUAUUAUGUUGGAUGGUUUGGAUUUGUUUGCACUAUUUUAAAACUACAUUUGUCUAGAAGGAUGAUUACUGAUAAUCUGAUCUUCAUCUGUGCAGUGAAUAUACUCCAAGGUUGAUCAAAAACCUUGAUGGCAUCAAGGUAUUUUGUUUUAAGUUUCACUGUCCUGAUCAAAUAAUGAUCCCCUUCUUAUUGUUCAUGUCCUUGCAUUGAAUAGAUUAAAAGGAUAGCUGCGGGAAUGCUGCACUCAGCUUGCAUUGACGGUAAGCUCAUGGAAAAAUUGUUUAAAGUAGUACACUAGUCAACUUCUGACCAUGAUUUCUCUUUCUUACGUGCUCCUUGCAUCAAAAUUGCAGAAAAAGGUACUGUGUUCAUCUUUGGGCAGAAGACUGAGAAGGUGGUAUCCAAUCAGGCCUCCUGGGACGUUUUUUUACUGUUUUUAUUGAGAUUUUUUCUUGGCCAUAAAUCUAGCUUCCUGGGAUUUUCCUUGUAUUUAACCCAAAAUUACAGGUACUUGGAAGAUCAAAUGAUGCACCUAGACCAAGUGUUGUUGAAGAGAUACAAUUUUCAGAAGAAGUUGCUUGUGGAGGUUAUCAUACUUGCGCUGUAACAGGUAUCAGUUGUGCAUGCAGAAAUCAAAAGAGGAGCAUUGAUUUCUAUUCCUGACAGUAAUUUGUUAGAUCGCAUCAGCUGUUUUCAGAAUAAAAUAAGUAAUUAGAUAAAAACUUUGGUCAUAUGCAUUUGCACAUAUUUCUUGUGGAAUAGAUUCGGUCUUAAAAUAAGGAGACCCAGUUCUAGAAGCUCCCACACCAGGUGGGGUCUAGGGAAGGAUCAUACGAGGAAAGCCUUAUCCCUGCACAGUGCAAUGCAGGGAGGCUGUGUCGAACCCAGGACCUCUUGGCACAAGUGGGGAGUACUUUACCACUAAACGAGGCCUGUCCUUCAAAUUCGGUCUCCAAAUAAAAAAACAGACCGGAGACCUUUCUAGUACGAAUCAGUCCGAGUUUGCCUGAGCCAACUGCGAGCGAUGCUCCGCUCCGCUCCCCUCUCCCUCCGCGCUCCGCUCGCCUAGCCACCGCGCCGCGCCGCCCGGACUGCCCCGCCGGCAGCACCCUCCCCGCCCCUCGCGCCAUGGCUCUGGUGCUGGCUGACCCUGUCGACCGCCGGACGUCCCUCUCCGGCGAGCGCGUCUCCUAUGGGGACUGCAGCUCUGGCUCGGAGAGCGGCUCGUCGGCGCGCUCGUACAGCGACGUCGCCCGCACCCCGCCGGCCGUCCCCGCGCCGUCGGCCGCCGCCGCUCCUGGCUGCGUUGCUCCCGCGGCCCGUCCUCCCGCCAAAGAUCGCCUUGGCCCCCGCUCGGAGGUCCGCCGUGUCUCGGGCGGGCCGGUGCUGGACGCAGAUGGGUUCCAGCAGGCUCGUCGCCGAGAGCAUCGCCGUCGCCCGCGCCGGGAGGCCCCUGCCAGGCCCUCGACCUCGCGCCGCCGCAACCCUUCCCCCGAGGAGCUCGCGGGCCUCUGCUUCCGGUGCCUCCACCAUCGCCACUGCGUCCGGGAUUGCCCUAACGACAUUCGCUGCCUUGCCUCCGGUCACUCCUCUCGGGACUGUGAUGGUAGGCGGCCCGCGGCCGCGACCCAGCGAUCCCCGCGCAACGCCCCGGUCCUGCAGACCCGGCUUCCUCGCGCUGCCCCUCCCCCAGUGGCGCGCCCCGCUCCCGUCCUGCUGGCUCCAGCCCCCUCCCCACCUCCGGCCUUGCCGGCCGCGGACGCGCCCCCCCCCGUGUGUUCAUGGCGCAGACCGAGGAGAUGGACGAGGCCGAGCUGGUGCUCGCCCGCGCGAUGGUGGCUUCGGUCACGGGCACUCGCCCCUCCGUGUCCAUUGACGAGGUCGCCGCGCUGCUCCUCGGCUCCCUCGAGCUCGAGGAAGGAGACUUCACGGUUCACCAGCACCAUCCCGAAGACUUCCUGAUCAUCUUCUCCUCCCUGGCUAUCACGCGGCGGCUUCGUGGCGAGCACUUCAUCAGCUCCGCCCGCUUCUCGCUGUCGCUCCGGCCCUGGUGCAAGCUCGCCCACGCCGGUGCCGGCGAGCUCGAGUACCGCGUCGAGCUGGAGCUCCGCGGCAUCCCCGCUCACGCCUGGUUGCUCUCCACUGUCGAACACCUGCUGGGAGACUGCUGCUGGAUUGAGAGACUUCACCCCCGCACUCGUUCCCGCGACGACAUGGCGGUCUUCCGCGUCUCAGGGCGCGCGCACGACCCGGCUGCCAUCCGGCGCGCCGCCGUCCCGGAAAUCGUCGAGCAGCUGCCCGGCCGCGUGCCCUCGGAGGCGUCGGCCGUCAGAACGCUCACGUUCCCGGUGGCCAUCGCCCUCACCAAGGCCGAGAUGAUCCGACCCGCUCCAGCCGCUCCCCACCCCUCCGGCAAUGGUGGCGAGGCUGACGAUGCUACUGGCAGGCAUGGCCUUGGGCCGAGCAAGGGGCAGGGCCCUGGCAAUGGACGCGCGCGCCGGCGGGGCCGCAAACGUCGACGAACGGACGGGGCGCAGGCCGGGCGGAUGGCAUGGCAGUGGACGCUCUGGUGCUGCAUGCCCACGGCGGUGUCUCCGGCCGCUCCGGCGGUGCCUGUACGGUUGCGCCCUGGCCGUCCUCGGCCGCACCGCGACAGGGGCGCCGCCCCACGCGCCAGGAGAUGCUCGCCUGGCCCGGUCAGCAGGGGCCUGCACGCCCGCGCCAGGGGCCCGCAGUGACGCCCAAAGCCACUUUGCCGGUGGCCCCAUCGCUAGCUGCCAACUCCCCCCCCCCUAUGACGGCNNNNNNNNNNNNNNNNNNNNNNNNNNNNNNNNNNNNNNNNNNNNNNNNNNNNNNNNNNNNNNNNNNNNNNNNNNNNNNNNNNNNNNNNNNNNNNNNNNNNNNNNNNNNNNNNNNNNNNNNNNNNNNNNNNNNNNNNNNNNNNNNNNNNNNNNNNNNNNNNNNNNNNNNNNNNNNNNNNNNNNNNNNNNNNNNNNNNNNNNNNNNNNNNNNNNNNNNNNNNNNNNNNNNNNNNNNNNNNNNNNNNNNNNNNNNNNNNNNNNNNNNNNNNNNNNNNNNNNNNNNNNNNNNNNNNNNNNNNNNNNNNNNNNNNNNNNNNNNNNNNNNNNNNNNNNNNNNNNNNNNNNNNNNNNNNNNNNNNNNNNNNNNNNNNNNNNNNNNNNNNNNNNNNNCCCCCCCCCUAUGACGGCGCGACGACUGGCAGUGGGAUGGGUGGCACGCCCCCAUUCGCUGGACGAGGACCGGAGGGGGCCGCUGAUUCAAACCCGCCCUUGACCGAGGAUGCUUCGCCCGGGCCCGCCACUACUGCGCCCGAUCCCACACCCCGUCGGGAUCGCUGCCAGCUACGACCGGCUCCUGCAAAGCAACCAGACGGGACGAUCCUCCCUGUCCCUCCUGCAGCCUUGUCUGGACCGAAGGGGGCGAGGAUCUCCUUUGCCCCCCUGCACCGCCGCAGCCCCUCCCUGCAAAGCCCCAGCAGGCCCACGCGCGCACUCACGUCGGGGAGGCGGGACGCGAUCUGCACGCUCCCGCCAAUUCGGCCAUGCCCGCCCCGUCCCCACCGGCCCCAGCUGUCACCCCGGGGCCCGCGGAGGUUGGUGUUGCUGCCCCUGCCCCUGCACGCGCGGUAGCUGACCUGGCCGGGCUGGCUGCUGCUGCGAAUGGGCCCAGGACCUGGGAUAUCGCUGCCCCUGGGGCCGCGCCGGUUGAGACACCCGCGCUAACUGCCAUGCCUGUCGGGACGCACGGGCCCGCGACGCCCACAGAGCCGUCGACCCUGCCGCGCGUGAUACCGGGCUCUUCCCCCUGCCCAGGGCACCUCUCGAUACUGCUGAGACCCACGCCCAGGCAGGACUCCUCCCCCCGCGCUGCUAGCACUAGCACCCGUGCUCUGGUCCCUGGUCGCUUCGCCUCGCCGCCGAUCACCCUGCAGCGACGGCGCAACUGCCACGCCCCCAGCCAGCCCUGGACGCUGGGUGCCUUCCUCUCCGCGGCCACCAAGCAGCUCGAUGCCGUUCUGCCCUCACCCGGGAAGCGGCAGCGCCCCGCCCUCAACUUCAGUCCCAGGAGGGGACGUUCCACAGCCGCCGACAAAGCCAGGGCUCCUUGCGCAUCAGAUCGGCGCGCGGUGGUGCAGAUUCUGCGCACCCUCGGCAUUGUGGGGGUGAACCAGCAGAUUACCGCCACAGAGAUGA